UUUUAUGGAGAGUUUGAUCCUGGCUCAGGAUGAACGCUGGCGGCGUGCCUAAUACAUGCAAGUCGAGCGAACGGACGAGAAGCUUGCUUCUCUGAUGUUAGCGGCGGACGGGUGAGUAACACGUGGAUAACCUACCUAUAAGACUGGGAUAACUUCGGGAAACCGGAGCUAAUACCGGAUAAUAUUUUGAACCGCAUGGUUCAAAAGUGAAAGACGGUCUUGCUGUCACUUAUAGAUGGAUCCGCGCUGCAUUAGCUAGUUGGUAAGGUAACGGCUUACCAAGGCAACGAUGCAKAGCCGACCUGAGAGGGUGAUCGGCCACACUGGAACUGAGACACGGUCCAGACUCCUACGGGAGGCAGCAGUAGGGAAUCUUCCGCAA
rnacentral:rRNA from 1 species